UAUGAAGCAAUCAUGAAACUGUCGCAGGCAAUUCACAAAAGAACUCCACCAAUUUUCCUUGAGAUAUGAAUAACUAGAAGACUAGUCACCACUCCUUCCGCUCCAAGCGACUUUGCUUUAAACUUUUGAAAUUCAAAUGCGAGUUUUGAAUGUCAUAACCAACAUUUUCACAUGCAACACAUUUCCAAUCACAACAAUCCUUCCAUUCUUCGUCUACACCAUCAACAUUCAGUGUUGUUGGGACGUUAAGCUGAGACAUGAGAAGGCGAAGGCAACCAAAAUCCCUAAUCCCACUUCGCUUAAUUUCGCGGCACAGACCAGACUCAGACGAAAGCAUUUCUGAUGAAGACGACGCCGUUUUCCCCAACAAUGCGCUUUCCUCAGACAACACCCACAAGCAAGAAUUGCCUCUUGCUGUGCGGCUCGACAUUCUAAAAGGGUACUGCGGUACAGGAAUCAGUGAUCGGAAUUUGUCUGGGAAAGGCACCAGUUCUUCAUCUGAGAAACCGCUUGAAGAUGAGGUUGAGAUGCCUGACUUCAACGAGGGAGAGGUUGUUGCCAAUUCAACUGAUGAAGAAAACAAUUCUGCAGACAGGGAUAAUACUGCCGUAUCAGCCCCACAGCUCCGCAAGUAUGGUCCACAAUCUAUCAGAAACAAACAUAUUAGAGAUAUGACCAGAAUUUCUGAAGCAUUGCUACAUUACAAAGGAAGCAUGUCAGGGUCUCAUAUGACCUGCUCCAAAGCAAAUAUAUCUGUGGUUGAUCCUAGGAGUUCUGGAAAUUUAGAGGAAAAUCAUCUUGAAGAUGAUGACAAAAUUGAAGUAAAUUCAGACAUCGAGCCUGAUGAAACAGAAGCUUUUCCACGUGAGUUUAAUCUCACCUCAAUGAAUGAGCUCUUUGAUAACCUCCAAGACAAAGCCAAUCAGCUUUUGCAGAAAAGUAGUAGACCCCACUUAAAAGAUACAACUGUUGAUAGUGAAGAUUUCUCAGAUCCCGUGGAAAGUGGAUCAUCAAGUGACAAUAAGGCAAGUUAUCAACAAAUAAAAAAUGCCUUCUCUGUAAAGAAAACGCAGACCAUGACAGAGCGAUUUUUGGAAGCUCUAGGGACAUCCUCUGUUAUUACUGAAGGGACUCGUGUUGGAGCUCAUAAUUCAUUGAGUGAUGGAUUGUCUGAAAGACUACAGCAGAUGAUGCUAAAAGAAAAAGAAACAGACAUGGACUUCUGGAAAAAGUUAAAAGCUGGAGCUAGGCCAGAUAGUAAAACUUUUGAUUUUACUUUCUCUGCAUUUUCUAUCCUUAUCUAUGUCAACUUGGCUGUUUUGAUGUAAAAAUCAUUUCAAGAUACCACGAUGGAAAGCUGACUGUUUGUCACUGCUCAUUUGGCAAGUGCAGAGAGGAUACUAAGACUGUAUGAGAGGAGAAGGAAGACAGGGGGAAGGUCAGGCCGAACGGUGGAGGAAGAGAGGCCGAACGGUGGGGAAAAGAUGCCGAACGGUGGGAAAGAGAGGCCGAACGGGUGCUAAUGGGAGAGGAGAAGAAAGGCCGAGGAACACUAGACCGAACGAUAUCACUAGACCGAUCGGUAUCACUAGGCCGAACGGUUGUUUCAGUAGGAAGGAGCACAGGAGUGAGAUAUUAUUAUGCGACACUAUAAAUAGUCUUCUUUGUUUUCUAUUGAAGGGGGGAUUUGAUUUUUGGGUAUAGACUGGCCAUAUUUGCCAGUGGAGGAGGAUAGGCCUCUUUGGGGAAGAUUAUACUUGUAUUCUCUUUCACUUUACAGAAUCAAUAAUACAUACAUACUUUCAUUUGUGUUGUUUGAGUGAGAAGAGAGGAUCGAUUUAGGUUACUCGCAUUAAGUAACCUAACAUAAUGCCUGCCUCACUAAUUCGUUGGAUUCAAAUCCUAGUGGGAUAAUGCUUUCGUUGUUGCUGUUACCUAUAAAAACAUGUUUCUUGUUGAGGUGGAGAAUGACGAUGUGCUCUUGGAAAAGCUAGAACUAGGUGUUAUUCUAUUUCAUUUAUUUGCUUCACUUGAACACAUAAUGUGACAGGAUCACUUUAUUUGAAAUGGAACAAUAUCAUGCAUUUAAGAAAUCCAAUAUUUAAUGCUCAUCAGAAAAUUGAUC